GCUCUUCCCAAUCUUUUUCGUUACCCGCUCUGCUAUCAUUUUUCUAAUUAAAUAAGGAUAAAGCCCUUUCCCAUUUUAAGUAUUUUAACCCUUGAUCACUGAUACCCUGUUCGACUGACGUAGGGCUCCGUAACGUAUGUCAAGGCUCUGCCUAAAUUCGUUGGGGUUCUGUCUCGUGACGUAGGGAUAAAGUGGAAUUGGGUUACUAUACUUAAUAUGAGUGCACUAUAUAUUUUAUUAAAUAACCUAGGAGUGAUACCCAAAAUAUAACAACCCUCCUAAAACACCCCUGACACCCCUACACUUCCUAAAAUACAUCCCAUAUGUGAAAACCGAGCUGAAAUACAAUAUAGCAUUAACAAUAAGUGAAAAACAAGAAAAUAUAAGUUUAGGCGGGCCGCGUAAAGAUCCUCGAUUAGUUGACGCGGGCCGCGAGAGGUUCAAAAGGUGGCGCAGCCCGGUGCGGCCACGUGGCCCAACACCUGGCAAACCUAGUCAAUGACUCAGCAUAGCUACGCGUUGACCCAGCUUUGACGCGGGCCGCGUAAGCUUUGUGCUUAUAUUACGCGGGCCGCGAGAGACCCAGGUUCAGGCACUAUAUAAAGGAGGCAUCGGCUGUCCAUUUCAAUUCGUUCACAAUUCAUUCUCACUCUCAAAAUUCUGAAUUAGAGUUAUUAUACACGGGUAUAAUACCCCCCCUAAUUAGCAAAGCUCUGCCUCGUUGUAAGUAUCAUAACCCCUGGAUACGUAUUAGAUACUCUGCCCGAUUGAUCUAGGGUUCCGUAACGGCUGUCGUGGUUCUGCCCGACGUAGUCGUUGGAAUGCCGUCUCGGGGAGGAUUAUAACCAGGAAGUUACAAAGGAAAGUCCUAUAAUAGCAAUGUGAGUUAAUCUUCUUUUUAUGAACUCAUUUUUGUGAGUUGAUUCACUUUUUGUAAACCUUUUUGUUUACUGUUUUUACAAAACCUCACUUAAUUAAAUAUAUACAAAGCAGUUAUUGAGUAUUUGUAAAGAAUACAAUUAUAGUGGGUAUGUUGGGGUUUUGUAUACAAAAUUGGUUACUGGCGUGGUAACAUCCCAUAAGUUGAGUAUGACCGUACCACUGAUGUUAAUUGUGAGGUCUUGGAUACAAAUGUAAUUGCGGAUGUGCCCUCAAUACUGCAAAUUGGUUUUUAUUUAACUUGAUUAAACUGGGAUUCACUCACCAGUAUUUCCUGCUGAUAAAAUGUUUUAAACAUGUGUUUCAGGUAACUUAGUGUAAAGCCAAUAAAAGCCAGCUGGAGAGCACUGAAGGCUUGGAAAAGUGGCAAUAAAGUUACCUAAAAUAAAAUAGAUGUUUUUAUUAAACAAAAUAGGAUUUAUUCCUAUGAAGAUGUGUGUACUACAAAACUUGGGUUUUACCCAUGUGUUUAAUAUUAUAAAAUGUGGUGGUUUACU
rnacentral:lncRNA from 1 species